CCAAUCGUUCGGUAGCCAGCUAGAAAGCCAAUGUUGCCACACUUUACGUUAGCACACCAUUUGAUGUCAAAUCAGUUUACUGUUCCGGAUACCGCGUUAUCAAAGCACAACCAACCAACGACUGGUACUGUAGCUAUCUACCUAACAAGCUCUGGGGACAAAGGUGAAGAAAGUUAGAACCUAGCUAAAGAACACUAGCCAUAGUUAGCUGCUAGUUGGCUAACGUCAUAUGCUGCCACGAUGUGCGCUUUGAGUUAACGUCAGCUAGCCAACUAACGUUAACUAGCUGGCUACCAAGUGGAGGUAACAUGUCAUCUCAGUGACAAUGAAUAUUGGCUAAUAGUAAUAACUAGCAAUAGCUAGCUAACACCACUUCCACUGUUACCGAAAUAGCUUCCAAACAUUGGCUUCUCUUACCAGGUUAGCUAGCUAGCCAUGUAUACCUAAACACGAGGAAAGCAUAGCAGUGCAAUGCGGCAGGUUGUUUUGAGUCAAAAUAAAUGCGCAAAGUGUUGGUUAGCCUUGAUAGCGUAGUUAGCUAGUUUGGAUAACGUUAGCAAACUUGAGCGUUAGCUUACUUGUUUGCUGGCUAGCUACUGAUAUCAAGCCAUUUCCCUAACGUGUGGGAACCAAAGUGUCUGACCAGCUAGCUAGCUAAAUAAAGAAGCUGAGGUUAGGCCCAGCGAAUCCCCGUUCUAUUUUAGACUGUCUCCCCCGUGGCGCGAUACCAACCUGGGCUGCCAAUCAUUCCAGUUUCGCUGCAGUUUGUGGGCGCUGCUAAGCCGAAACCCAAGGGCUUUACGGCUCAUUACCUUUGCGAGAACAGCAUGACCUGCUCUCAACGGGAUAAAAUUCCGUGAACAAGCGUAUUUGCUCGCUAUCUGUUUAUUUUAUGUCCAUUAAUGGACCCGCUACAGCUAUCGGUGUGCGUUAUGUUUUGUGUCGGGUCGGCCUCCUUUCUUUUUUUUCUCUCCUUUAUUUUUUGUCUCCCACUCCUUCUUCGAUUCUUGAUGAAAGAGCCACUGGCCCCUUCGCUUUAUAACAGCGCCACCUGCCGGACUUUAGAACGACGAAGCAAGAGCUGUGACUGCAACAGCUAGUUUAAUUUUUUGCACAUCACUUGGAAUAUGCGUUGCUAAGCGACAGCAUCAGGAGUGGGAGUGAGGAGAGAGCAUGCAUGCAGCAACAGAGGAUGCAAGGUGUCACCCAUCUUCCCCACUUAUCCUCUGAGUAUUUAUACUGGUGUUUUCUGUCUGUCUGUGCCAGUUCGUCUUGUUUGUCUCAACUACUGUUUUUCCCCAGUCUCUUUUUUUCUCGCCCUCCUGGUUUUUGACCCUUGACUGUCCUGACCCUGUAUCCACCACUCUGCCUGACCCUGAGCCUGCCUGCCGUCCU